AUAAUAUAUAUAUAUAUAUAUAUCGAAUUUAAAGGUACUACGCGAGGUACAAGAUAAAGAGACUGAUCUGCUGGAAAAGAUAUUCUUGACUUUUUAACAUUUAAUUAUUAUCAAUAAUAAUCGCAUAAUGAUUCGUUUUGAAAAUAAUGAAUGUAACUCUAGGAACAGUGAAGUACCUACAGUUAUGCUAUUAGACUUAUCUCUAUAAAAUCGAGAGAGAAAGAGAGAGAGAGAGAGA